UCCCGACCCAUUAAAUGCGAAAGUGUGUUUGUUUGUUGGUUUGUCCUUCAACCACGUCACAACAGAGCGACGGAUUCGCGUUAUUUUUUGCACGGAUAUAGAUAAGAAUCUA